AAAUAAAGAUGGUCUUAACCUACAAAAAUGCAGUUCAAAAUUUCACAGGUCUUCUAUUUUAACACGGCUUGCAUGUAGAUUUAAUACGUACAAUGAAUCAGUCAAGUGACCUUCAGUUUCAUCUCUAAUCCUGAUUUUGUUGACGUGUUCAUUCCCAACCCGGAUGAGUAUCGGUAUAAAAGAAAGACAAAUAAUGACUUAUUUAUUAAGAUUGCACCCGAGAUAGUAUUUUUAUGAAACGCUUAACAGAUAAAAU
rnacentral:lncRNA from 1 species